rnacentral:rRNA from 1 species
GUACACUCCUACGGGAGGCAGCAGUAGGGAAUCUUCGGCAAUGGGGGCAACCCUGACCGAGCAACGCCGCGUGAGUGAAGAAGGUUUUCGGAUCGUAAAGCUCUGUUGUAAGUCAAGAACGAGUGUGAGAGUGGAAAGUUCACACUGUGACGGUAGCUUACCAGAAAGGGACGGCUAACUACGUGCCAGCAGCCGCGGUAAUACGUAGGUCCCGAGCGUUGUCCGGAUUUAUUGGGCGUAAAGCGAGCGCAGGCGGUUUGAUAAGUCUGAAGUUAAAGGCUGUGGCUCAACCAUAGUUCGCUUUGGAAACUGUCAAACUUGAGUGCAGAAGGGGAGAGUGGAAUUCCAUGUGUAGCGGUGAAAUGCGUAGAUAUAUGGAGGAACACCGGUGGCGAAAGCGGCUCUCUGGUCUGUAACUGACGCUGAGGCUCGAAAGCGUGGGGAGCGAACAGGAUUAGAAACCCUUGUAGUCCCAUGAU